rnacentral:rRNA from 1 species
GCGCAGCAGUCGCGAAACCUCUGCAAUAGGCGAAAGCUUGACAGGGUUACUCUGAGUGAUGUCCGUUAAGGGCAUCUUUUGGCACUUCUAAAAAUAGUGCAGAAUAAGGGGUGGGCAAGUCUGGUGUCAGCCGCCGCGGUAAUACCAGCACCCCGAGUGGUCGGGACGAUUAUUGGGCCUAAAGCAUCCGUAGCCGGUUCUGCAAGUCUUCCGUUAAAUCCACCUGCUCAACAGAUGGGCUGCGGAGGAUACUACAGGGCUAGGAGGCGGGAGAGGCAAGCGGUACUCAGUGGGUAGGGGUAAAAUCCUCUGAUCCACUGAAGACCACCAGUGGCGAAGGCGGCUUGCCAGAACGCGCUCGACGGUGAGGGAUGAAAGCUGGGGGAGCAAACCGGAUUAGAUACCCCGGUAGUCC